UCAGCGGCAGACGGGUGAGUAACGCGUGGGAACGUACCCUUUUGGUUCGGAACAACACAGGGAAACUUGUGCUAGUACCGGAUAAGCCCUUACGGGGAAAGAUUUAUCGCCGAAAGAUCGGCCCGCGUCUGAUUAGCUAGUUGGUGAGGUAACGGCUCACCAAGGCGACGAUCAGUAGCUGGUCUGAGAGGAUGAUCAGCCACAUUGGGACUGAGACACGGCCCAAACUCCUACGGGAGGCAGCAGUGGGGAAUAUUGGACAAUGGGCGCAAGCCUGAUCCAGCCAUGCCGCGUGAGUGAUGAAGGCCCUAGGGUUGUAAAGCUCUUUUGUGCGGGAAGAUAAUGACGGUACCGCAAGAAUAAGCCCCGGCUAACUUCGUGCCAGCAGCCGCGGUAAUACGAAGGGGGCUAGCGUUGCUCGGAAUCACUGGGCGUAAAGGGUGCGUAGGCGGGUCUUUAAGUCAGGGGUGAAAUCCUGGAGCUCAACUCCAGAACUGCCUUUGAUACUGAGGAUCUUGAGUUCGGGAGAGGUGAGUGGAACUGCGAGUGUAGAGGUGAAAUUCGUAGAUAUUCGCAAGAACACCAGUGGCGAAGGCGGCUCACUGGCCCGAUACUGACGCUGAGGCACGAAAGCGUGGGGAGCAAACAGGAUUAGAUACCCUGGUAGUCCACGCCGUGAACGAUGAAUGCCAGCCGUUAGUGGGUUUACUCACUAGUGGCGCAGCUAACGCUUUAAGCAUUCCGCCUGGGGAGUACGGUCGCAAGAUUAAAACUCAAAGGAAUUGACGGGGGCCCGCACAAGCGGUGGAGCAUGUGGUUUAAUUCGACGCAACGCGCAGAACCUUACCAGCCCUUGACAUCCCGGUCGCGGAUUCCAGAGACGGAGUCCUUCAGUUCGGCUGGACCGGAGACAGGUGCUGCAUGGCUGUCGUCAGCUCGUGUCGUGAGGUGUUGGGUUAAGUCCCGCAACGAGCGCAACCCCCGUCCUUAGUUGCUACCAUUUAGUGAAGCACUCUAAGGAGACUGCCGGUGAUAAGCCGCGAGGAAGGUGGGGAUGACUCA
rnacentral:rRNA from 1 species